rnacentral:lncRNA from 1 species
AUGGAGUGCAGAUAUCCCUUCAAUAUACAGUUUUUCUUUCUUUUGACUUAUGUGCUGAACAGUGGGAUUACUGGAUCAUAUGACAGCUUUAUUUUUAUUUUUUUGAAGAACCUCCAGAUGGUUCUCCAUAGUGAUUACACUACAUUAAACUAAGAGUGCACAAGUGUUCCUUUUCUCCACAUCCUCACCAGCAUUUGUGUUAUCACCUGUCUUUUGGAUAUAAGCCAUUUUAACUGGGGUGAGAUAAUAUCUCAUUAUAGUUUUGAUUUGCAUUUCUCUGAUAAUCAGUGAUGCUGAUCACCUUUUCAUAUGCCUAUUUGCCAUUUGUAUGUCUUCCUUUGAUAAAUAUUUAUUCAAAUAUUUUGCUUAUUUUUCUAUUGAGUUUUUUUAGCUUCUUUUAUGUUCCAGUUACAAAUCCUUUGUCAGAUGAGUAGACUGCAAAUAUUUUAUGUAUGCUGUCUCUUCACUUUGUUGUUUCCUUUAUUUGCUACGCAGAAGCUUUUGAGCUUGAUGUAAUCUCAUUUGUCCAUUUUUGCUUUGGUUCCCUUUACUUGUAGGGUAUUACUCAGGACAUUUUUGCCUAGAUCAAUGUCCAAGAUAUUUUCCCCAUUUUUUUCUUGUUGCAUUUGUAUAGUAUGAAGUCUUAGGCCUUUUUUAUUUGAGAUUUUUUCUUUUACAUGGUAAGAAAUCCUAUAGGUGUGCUUCAUUAUGGUUAAUGUUUUUUUUUUUUUUUUUUUUGUUUACUCUUGCUUCUCUAGUUCUUUUAAUUGUGAUGUUAGGGCGUUGAUUUUAGAUCUUUCCUGUUUUCUCCUGUGGAGAUUUAGUGCUAUAAGUUUGCUUCUAAAUGCUGCUUUAGCUCUGUCCCAGAGAUUCUGGUUUGUUGUGUCUUUGUUCUCAUUGGUUUCAAAUAACUUAUUUAUUUCUGCCUUAACUUCGUUAUUUACCUAGGAGUCAUUCAAGGCAGGUUGUUCAGUUUCCAUGUAGAUGUGCUUUUUUGAGUGAGUUUCUUAAUCCCGAGUUCUCAUUUGAUUGCACAGUGGUCAGAGAGACUGUUUGUAUUAAUUUCAGUUCUUUUGCAUUUGCUGAGGAAUGUUUUACUUCCAAUUAUGUGGUCAAUUUUAGAAGAAGUGUGAUGUGGUGCUGGGAGUAAUGUAUAUUCUGUUGAUUUGGGGUGGAGAGUUCUGGAGACGUCUAUUAGAUACUCUUGGUCCAGAGCUGAGUUCAAGUCCUGAAUACCCUUGUUAAUUUUCUGUCUCCUUGAUCUAAUACUGACAAUGGGGUGUUAAAAUCUCCCACUAUUAUUGUGUGGGAGUCUAAGUCUCUUUGUAGGUCUCUAAGAACUUGCUUUAUGAAUCUGGGUGCUCCUAUAUUGGGUGCAUAUAUAUUUAGGAUCAUUAUCUCUUCUUCUUGCGUCAAUCCCUUUGCCAUUAUGUAAUGCCCUUCUUUGUCUUUUUUGAUCUUUGUUGGUUUAAAGUCUGUUUUAUCAGAGAUUAGGAUUCCAACCUGGCUUUUUUUUUCUCUUUUCAUUUGCUUAGUACAUUGUCCUCUAUCUCUUUAUUUUGUGUCUAUCUGUGUCUUUGCAUGUGAGAUGUGUCUCCUAAAUACAUCACAGCAAUGGGUUGUUGGAAUUCACUUGGGGUGGCUGGUAAAAUAUUAUGGAAAAUAUAGGGAAAAUUAUAGAUUAUAGUCUCUAAACUUUUGGAAGUCCAGAAGGUUUUAUUGGGACAGGCUGAAGACAACCACUUCAUUUACAUUAGCAUAGGAAAGAGAGAAGAUAAAAAACUUCUGAAUUUAAGUCUGUUUUCCCCACAUCCCUUUGUCUAUACUAUAACUGUUUACUCAUGUAAAUUUUGUGCUGGAUGGUCCUGUCAGGGGGAGAUCAAAGGGAAAUUACCUGUUAAUAAUAUUUACUCUAAAGCUUUUAUCAGUCUAAAACCAUUCUUUUAAUCACGUUAAUUAUCCACAAGUGUGUUAAUUUAGAACCUCUGUUGUAAGAUCUUACUGAACAAACUUGACAAUAGAAAGGGCGUCUUGGUGGAUUGGUUGCAUUUAUCCCUCUGAAAGCAACCAACAACCAUUCCCAGCCCACUUGAAUCACUGUAAUGAUGUGAGAAUGCAUUCAUUCAUUCGUUUGAGUCAGGGUCUGCAGGCCAGACCUUUGCAGGUGGUGGUUGAACUCUCAAUAGAUCUUGACUCUUUAUCCAAUUUGCCAGUCUCUCUCUUAAUUGGGGCAUUUAGCCCAUUUACAUUUAAGAUUAAUAUUGUUAUGUAUGAAUUUGAUCCUGUCAUUUUGAUACUAGCUGGUUGUUUUGCCUGUUAGUUGAUGCAGUUUCUUCAUAGUGCCAAUGGUCUUUACAAUUUGGUAUUUUUUUUUCCAGUGGCUGGUACCAGUUUUUCCUUUCUAUGUUUACUGCUUUCUUCAGGAGCUCUUGUAAGGCAGGACUGGUAGUGACAAAAUCUCUCAGCAUUUGCUUGUCUUAAAGAAUUUUAUUUCUCCUUCACUUAGAAGUUUAGUUUGGCUGGAUAUGAAAUUCAGGGUUGAAAAUUCUUUUAAGAAUGUUGAAUACUGGCCCCCACUCUCUUCUGGUUUGUAGGGUUUCUUCAGAGAUAUCCGCUAUUAGUCUGAUGGGCCUCCCUCUGUGGGUAACCUGACCUUUCUCUCUGACUGCCCUUAACAUUUUUUCCUUCAUUUCAAUCUUGAAUAGGAUGAUUAUGUGUCUGGGAGUUGCUCUUCUCAAGGAGUAUCUUUGUAGUGUUCACUGUAUUUUCUAAAUUUAAAUGUUUACUUGUAUUGCUAGGUUAGGGAAGUUCUCCUGGAUAAUAUCCUGAAGAGUGUUUUCCAACUUGGUUCCAUUCUUGUCGUCACUUUCAGGUACACCAACCAAAUGUAGGUUUGGUCUUUUUACAUAGUUCCAUAUUUCUUGGAGGCUUUGUUCAUUCCUUUUCAUUCUUUUUUCUCUAAUCUUGUCUUUAUGCUUUAUAUUAUUAAGUUGAUCUUUUUUUUUUUUGAGAUGGAGUUUCGUUCUUGUUACCCAGGCUGGAGUGCAAUGGUGCGAUCUCGGCUCACUGCAACCUCUGCCUCCUGGGUUCAGGCAAUUCUCCUGCCUCAGCCUCCUGAGUAGCUGGGAUUACAGGCACUCGCCACCAUGCCCAGCUAAUUUUUUGUAUUUUUAGUAGAGGUGGGGUUUCCCAUGUUGACCAGGAUGGUCUUAAUCUCUCGUGAUCUACCCGCCUCGGCCUCCCGAAGUGCUGGGAUUACAGGCUUCUCUCAUAUCCUUUCUUCUGCUUGACUGAUUUGGGUACUGAUACUUAGGUAUGCUUCAUGAAGUUCUUGUGCUGUUUGUCAGCUCCAUCGGGUCAUUUAUGCCCUUCUCUAAACUGUUUAUUCUAGCUAUGCAGCCAUACAAAAGCAUGAGUUCAUGUCCUUUGCAGUGACAUGAAUGAAGCUGGAAACCAUCAUUGCCAGGAAACUAACACAAGAAGAGAAAGCCAAACACGACAUGUUCUCACUUAUAAGUGGGAGUUGAACAAUGAGAACACAUAAUAACAGGGAGGGGAACAUCACACACUGGGGCCUGUUGGUGGGUAGGGGGCCAAAGGAGGGAGAGCAUUAGAAGAAAUACCUAAUGUAGAUGACAGGUUUAUGGGUGCAGCAAACCACCAUGACAUGUGUAUACCUAUGUAACAAAGCUAAAUGUUCUGUGUAUCCUAGAACUUAAAGUAUAAUAAAAAAUUAAAUAAAUAAAUGAAUAAAAUAAAAUGCAAAGAGUUCAAAAAAUAGAG